GGAUUGGUAGCUCAGUUGGAUAGAGUACUUGACUACGAAUCAAGGGGUCGGGGGUUCGAAUCCUCCCCAGUCCGCCA
rnacentral:tRNA from 23 species